AGUGAACGCUGGCGGUAGGCCUAACACAUGCAAGUCGAACGGCAGCACAGUAAGAGCUUGCUCUUACGGGUGGCGAGUGGCGGACGGGUGAGGAAUACAUCGGAAUCUACUUUUUCGUGGGGGAUAACGUAGGGAAACUUACGCUAAUACCGCAUACGACCUACGGGUGAAAGCAGGGGAUCUUCGGACCUUGCGCGAUUGAAUGAGCCGAUGUCGGAUUAGCUAGUUGGCGGGGUAAAGGCCCACCAAGGCGACGAUCCGUAGCUGGUCUGAGAGGAUGAUCGGCGACACUGGAACUGAGACACGGUCCAGACUACUGCGGGAGGCAGCAGUGGGGAAUAUUGGACAAUGGGGGGAAGCAUGAUACAGCCAUACCGCGUGGGAGAAGGAGGCGUUCGGGUUGUAAAGCCCUUUUGUUGGGAAAGAAAAGCAGCAGGUUAAUACCCCGCUGUUCUGACGGUACCCAAAGAAUAAGCACCGGCUAACUUCGUG
rnacentral:rRNA from 1 species